CCUACGGGAGGCAGCAGUGGGGAAUAUUGCACAAUGGGGGGAACCCUGAUGCAGCGACGCCGCGUGAGUGAAGAAGUCUUUCUGUAUGUAAAGCUCUAUCAGCAGGGAAGAAAAUGACGGUACCUGACUAAGACUCCCCGGCUAAAUCCGUUCCAGCAGCCGCGGUACUACGUAGGGGGCAAGUGGUAUCCGGAUUUACUGGGUGUAAUGGGAGCGUAGACGGAAGGGCAAGUCUGGAGUGAAAGCCCGGGGCCCAACCCCGGAACUGCUUUGGAAACUGUCAGGCUAGAGAGCAGGAGAGGUAAGCGGAAUGCAUGGUGUAGCGGUGAAAUGCGUAGAUAUUAGGAGGAACACCAGUGGCGAAGGCAGCUUACUGGACAGUAACUGACGUUGAGGCUCGAAAGCGUGGGGAGCAAACAGGAUUAGAUACCCCAGUAGUC
rnacentral:rRNA from 1 species